ACUGAGAGUAGGGGGGAUGUGACAUUUUUUGUGAAGGUGCAAUGUGAGUUGGACUGGAAGAAUGUCUAUUACAGAUCCUAAUUGAAGUAGCGAUAAUCCAGGCUUGUAUCCUGGGGGCUGAUGAGGAGUAGGGUUUCUGGACAACUUAAACAGAUCCAGAGUUAGUCGAUCCUAAUCUCAAUAAUGGGAGAAAGGGAGUACAGUUGAUAUUCUGUAACUGACAACAGUUCGCGGCAACGCAUACUAUUUUUCUCCGCCAAUCUUAUACCGUUGGUAGGGAUCUCUUUCCUACAUGACAGUACUAAUACCCAGGGAAACUGGUCAUCAGGCGAACUGCGGCGUUCUGCUGGCAAAACAUAGCUUCGGUUAUGUCAAUGGCUAUUGGAUUGGUCCAUGAAGCGAAAAAUAGUUUACUGUGUCACUCGUACCGAUAACCGCAUCAGGUCUUCUAGGUAAGUAGCCUAUGGCCAUUGAGGCAUGAUAGUUCAGGGAAUUCGGCCAAUUAGAGCUGUAACUUCGGGAUAAAGCUUGGCUCUGAUGAAAAUCAGAACCGAUUGUUACGCGGAGAGCCCAACUGUUUAAUAAAAACGUAGUGUCGCGCUGUGGUAGUAUAGCCAGUGAACGCGACAUGAAUCCUGCUCAGUGCUGUGUCUGUUAAUAUGGUUCAAGCCAACGAAGCACCGGUAAAUAGCUGGGGUAACUAUGACUCUUAUCAAAGUAGCGAAAUACCUCGUCACUUAAUUAGUGACCUGCAUGAACGGAGCUAUGAGGUUCUCACUGUCCCAAACUGUCUCUCAGCGAACCAACUGUAGUGGGAACGGUCACUAGAUAUCCAGCGGGGAAAGAAGACCCUGAGAGCUUCACU
rnacentral:ncRNA from 1 species